rnacentral:rRNA from 1 species
UACGAAGGGGGCUAGCGUUGCUCGGAAUCACUGGGCGUAAAGCGCACGUAGGCGGAUUGUUAAGUCAGGGGUGAAAUCCUGGAGCUCAACUCCAGAACUGCCUUUGAUACUGGCGAUCUUGAGUCCGGGAGAGGUGAGUGGAACUCCGAGUGUAGAGGUGAAAUUCGUAGAUAUUCGGAGGAACACCAGUGGCGAAGGCGGCUCACUGGUCCAUUACUGACGCUGAGGUGCGAAAGCGUGGGGAGCAAACAGG